rnacentral:rRNA from 1 species
UAACGCAUUAAGCACUCCGCCUGGGGAGUACGGUCCAAGACUGAAACUCAAAGGAAUGACGGGGGCCCGCCAAGCGGUGGAGCAUGUGGUUUAAUUCGAAGCAACGCGAAGAACCUACCAGGUCUUGACAUCCUCUGACAAUCCUAGAGAUAGGACGUCCCCUUCGGGGGCAGAGUGACAGGUGGUGCAUGGUUGUCGUCAGCUCGUGUCGUGAGAUGUUGGGUUAAGUCCCGCAACGAGCGCAACCCUUGAUCUUAGUUGCCAGCAUUCAGUUGGGCACUCUAAGGUGACUGCCGGUGACAAACCGGAGGAAGGUGGGGAUGACGUCAAAUCAUCAUGCCCCUUAUGACCUGGGCUACACACGUGCUACAAUGGACAGAACAAAGGGCAGCGAAACCGCGAGGUU